AGCAGCCGCGGUAAUUCCAGCUCCAAUAGCGUAUAUUAAAGUUGUUGCAGUUAAAAAGCUCGUAGUUGAAUUUCGGGGUCAGUAGGUUGGUCGUGCCACCGGUACGUACUGGUCUCACUGAUUCCUCCUUCCUGAUGAGCUGUAAUGCCAUUAAUUUGGUGUUGCAGGGAAUCUGGACUGUUACUUUGAAAAAAUUAGAGUGUUUAAAGCAGGCUAACGCUUGAAUACAUUAGCAUGGAAUAAUGAAAUAGGACGUUCGAUCCUAUUUUGUUGGUUUCUAGGAUUGACGUAAUGAUUAAUAGGGAUAGUUGGGGGCAUUAGUAUUCAAUUGUCAGAGGUGAAAUUCUUGGAUUUAUUGAAGACUAACUACUGCGAAAGCAUUUGCCAAGGAUGUUUUCAUUAAUCAAGAACGAAAGUUAGGGGAUCGAAGACGAUCAGAUACCGUCGUAGUCUUAACCAUAAACUAUGCCGACUAGGGAUCGGAUGAUGUUAAUUUUUUAAUGACUCA
rnacentral:rRNA from 2 species